UACGGGAGGCAGCAGUGGGGAAUAUUGCACAAUGGGCGCAAGCCUGAUGCAGCCAUGCCGCGUGUAUGAAAAGGCCUUCGGGUUGUAAAGUACUUUCAGUCGUGAGGAAGGUGUUAAGGUUAAUAACCUUAGCAAUUGACGUUAGCGACAGAAGAAGCACCGGCUAACUCCGUGCCAGCAGCCGCGGUAAUACGGAGGGUGCGAGCGUUAAUCGGAAUUACUGGGCGUAAAGGGCACGCAGGCGGUUAAUUAAGUUGGAUGUGAAAUCCCCGGGCUUAACCUGGGAAUGGCAUUUCAAAGACUGGUUAGCUAGAGUCUUGUAGAGGGGGUAGAAUUCCAUGUGUAGCGGUGAAAUGCGUAGAGAUGUGGAGGAAUACCGGUGGCGAAAGGCGGCCCCCUCGGACGAAAACGAACUCGACGCUCAUGUGCGAAAAGACGUGGGGA
rnacentral:rRNA from 1 species